AAGAGCUCAUCAUUGGAAUCUGGCAGUGUUACACUGUCCGAGUUGUAGAUGAGGAGUAGUCCGUCUGGACUGCAUGGCGUCCAAGUACAAUAGGCCGUCAGUGGGACAUCAUAGAGGGUGACAAUCCCGUCCUUGACGCCAAUGUGCAAGUCUAUUACGAUGGCUAUCUCAGAGAGUCGAGCAGUUUGGGAUUUGCUGCUUAAACAUGGGAGGUAGAUUCCUUCUAAAGCUAAAUACAGGCGAGAGACCGAUAGAGAACAAGUACCGCAAGGGAAAGAUGAAAUAGCACUCUGUGAAGGGAGUCAAAAGGCGUGAAAUUGUUGCGAGAGAAGCGAUUCAAGUCAGCGUAGCUAGGCCCAUCAAGCGUCUUCGCUUUGGACUAGCUUUGCCAGCGGUCUUGUCCCUUAAAGAGACUUGACUUGUAAUAUGUCCAGCCUGGCGUGCACAGGCAGCCCCUUCUGGGGGCCAGUGGCAUGGCUGGUGGAAUGGCUUGCAAUCGACCCGUCUUGAAACACGGACCAAGGAGUCUAACAUGUAUGCGAGUAUAAGGGUGGCAAACCCGUAUGCGCAAUGAAAGUGAUUUUCGGUGAUUGAGAAUGGCCUGAUGACCAGACAAGCAAUAUAUGUCCCUCGUACGGCCAUUGCCCAAGUUCCGUGGUAGAUCCCACGAACAUGGAGUUGGAGCAUACAUGCUAGGACCCGAAAGAUGGUGAACUAUGCCUGGACAAAGCGAAGCCAAAGGAAACUCUGGUGGAGGCUUGUAGCGAUUCUGACGUGCAAAUCGAUCGUCUGAUCUGGGUAUA
rnacentral:rRNA from 1 species